GAGCUUGCAGAAACCUACCUACAGAGUCCGGGGUGAAGGUGAGCGGCAGGGUCGGAUUACAGCCUCUCACCGUCCGAAUGCUGCAGGAAGGAAGCACAUGCUACGUGUUCAAUUACAGCCUCAAACUCCAGGGACAGAAAUCCUUCCUAAAAGUUCUGCCUGCUCCUGAUGGCCCCAGAUUAAGCUACCGUUGGUAUAGGAAUACUACUGGUACAGGUCUGUAGCUUGCUUCGCUCUAGAACCACUCCACCCCAAUGCCAUUGUGAGCAGAAAACAGUCUUCUUCAUUAUUCCCACGGUCCAUCAAGAGAGAGGGGAAAAGGUUCCUCUCUACCAGUGACAAGUGACAGAGGGAUCCUGAGGCAGACCUCUUCCUGUAAGACACGCUCCUGUGAUAGGCACCUUGGGCUCUCUGGGGUCCCUAUCUGCCUGACUGAAACAUUCUUAGAACUUCCCUCCCUGUCUCCAUCAUGCUGUGACAUCAUACUCUGCUUUUCCCACCCUUUCCCCCCCUACCUCAAUUUCCUCAUAGUUGCUUCACACAAUAAAUAUCUUGGACACUUAA